rnacentral:rRNA from 1 species
GCCUAAAGCGUCCGUAGCCGGCCGAACGGGUCCGUCGGGAAAUCCACCCGCUCAACGGGUGGGCGUCCGGCGGAAACCAGUCGGCUUGGGGCCGGAAGACCCGAGGGGUACGUCCGGGGUAGGAGUGAAAUCCUGUAAUCCCGGACGGACCGCCGAUGGCGAAAGCAUCUCGGGAAGACGGACCCGACGGUGAGGGACGAAAGCUAGGGUCUCGAACCGGAUUAGAUACCCGGGUAGUCCUAGCUGUAAACGAUGCUCGCUAGGUGUGGCACAGGCUACGAGCCUGUGCUGUGCCGUAGGGAAGCCGAGAAGCGAGCCGCCUGGGAAGUACGUCUGCAAGGAUGAAACUUAAAGGAAUUGGCGGGGGAGCACUACAACCGGAGGAGCCUGCGGUUUAAUUGGACUCAACGCCGGACAUCUCACCGGCACCGACAGUGUGCAGUGACGGUCAGUCUGAUGGGCUUACCUGAGCCACUGAGAGGAGGUGCAUGGCCGCCGUCAGCUCGUACCGUGAGGCGUCCUGUUAAGUCAGGCAACGAGCGAGACCCGGGUCCCUAAUUGCCAGCAGCAGCCUUGUGCUGGCUGGGUACAUUAGGGAGACUGCCGUGGCCAACACGGAGGAAGGAACGGGCAACGGUAGGUCAGUAUGCCCCGAAUGUGCCGGGCGACACGCGGGCUACAAUGGCCGGGACAGUGGGAUGCCACCCCGAGAGGGGGCGCUAAUCUCCUAACCCCGGUCGUAGUUCGGAUUGCGGGUUGAAACCCACCCGCAUGAAGCUGGAUUCGGUAGUAAUCGC